rnacentral:rRNA from 1 species
UACGGGGGGAGCAAGCGUUGUUCGGAUUUACUGGGCGUAAAGGGCGCGUAGGCGGUCAGCACAAGUCAGUUGUGAAAUCUCCGGGCUUAACUCGGAAAGGUCAACUGAUACUGUGCGACUAGAGUGCAGAAGGGGCAACUGGAAUUCUCGGUGUAGCGGUGAAAUGCGUAGAUAUCGAGAGGACCACCUGCGGCGAAGGCGGGUUGCUGGGCUGACACUGACGCUGAUGCGCGAAAGCCAGGGGAGCGAACGUG